AACGAACGCUGGCGGCAUGCCUAACACAUGCAAGUCGAACGAUUGCCUUCGGGUGAUAGUGGCGCACGGGUGCGUAACGCGUGGGAAUCUGCCCUUAGGUUCGGAAUAACAGCUGGAAACGGCUGCUAAUACCGGAUGAUAUCGCGAGAUCAAAGAUUUAUCGCCUGAGGAUGAGCCCGCGUUGGAUUAGGUAGUUGGUGGGGUAAAGGCCUACCAAGCCGACGAUCCAUAGCUGGUCUGAGAGGAUGAUCAGCCACACUGGGACUGAGACACGGCCCAGACUCCUACGGGAGGCAGCAGUGGGCAAUAUUGGACAAUGGGCGCAAGCUUGAUCCAGCAAUGCCGCGUGAGUGAUGAAGGCCCUAGGGUUGUAAAGCUCUUUUACCCGGGAAGAUAAUGACUGUACCGGGAGAAUAAGCCCCGGCUAACUCCGUG
rnacentral:rRNA from 1 species